AUCCCUAAGAUCAAUUGGAACAAGUCCUGUUAUCCAAUAGGGUUGCAUCUAAUCAAUCCAAAGCAAACCUAAUUGAAUCCAAUUCAAUUAGAUUUGAUCCAAUCCACAUUGUUCAAUUAAAUUGAGCCAAUAACAAUCAUAUUAUUAAUUAAUUAUUUCUUUAAUUUAUCAACCAUUAGUAAAUAAUUUAUUACAAUCUUUGCAAAGGAUUAAUCAUUAAUCACUUUGAUAAUUAAAUUCUUCAAUGAUUCAUAAUCGUCAAUCAACCAUUUGAUUAGACAGUACUUCUAUGUGUGUGGCCCCAUAGGUUCGAACUAAAGUCGGUAGUACAAGAAUAAUUCUUGUACUAAUCGAUGUUACCAUCUAGCAAUGAUUUUCGACAUUCGGAUAGAUCGAAUGUAUGCCUAGCAAUACUCUAGAAUCCAUGUGGAUAUGUUACCGUAUAAUUCAUCCCUUUGAUACUUGAUGCUCAAGGACGACUAAAGGUUAAACUGUCAACCUAGGAUGAGUAGUCCACAUUGUGUCUCAACCUCAAAAAUCUUGUGACUCUUCACUAGGACUACUUUAGCCAAAGUUUUGCUAAAUUAAAACACAGUGAUGCAUCAUCUCUAAUUUUACUUGGAGCGAUCAAUCCCAUCUUGACUCGUACUUAGACUUCGCAAGUAUUUGACUGUACCCAAAAAUCUUUUGUCAUCGAAUUAGAAAUUCGGAUAGUCCAACAUCAAAGCAUAGUGAGUUGCUUGCAAGUCACCGAGGCAGCCUC
rnacentral:lncRNA from 1 species